rnacentral:misc_RNA from 1 species
GAUGAAGAACGUAGCUAAAUGCGAUAAGUAAUGUGAAUUGCAGAAUUCAGUGAAUCAUCGAAUCUUUGAACGCACAUUGCGCCCCUUGGUAUUCCGGGGGGCAUGCCUGUUCGAGCGUCAUUAUAACCCCUCAAGCUCAGCUUGGUGUUGGGGCCUGCCAACUGGCAGCCCUUAAAAUCAGUGGCGGCGCCAUCUGGCUCUAAGCGUAGUAAUUUCUCUCGCUAUAGGGUCCCGGUGGAUGCUUGCCAACAACCCCCAAUUUUCUAUGGUUGACCUCGGAUCAGGUAGGGAUACCCGCUGAACUUAAGCAUAUCAAUAAGCGGAGGA